rnacentral:misc_RNA from 1 species
GAUGAAGAACGUAGCGAAAUGCGAUACUUGGUGUGAAUUGCAGAAUCCCGUGAACCAUCGAGUCUUUGAACGCAAGUUGCGCCCGAAGCCAUUAGGCCGAGGGCACGCCUGCCUGGGCGUCACACGUCGUUGCCCCCCCAUCUACUCCUUCGGGAUUGCGGGGGGCGGUUGAUGGCCUCUCGUGCGCCUCGUCGCGCGGUUGGCCUAAAUGCCAAGUCCUCGGCGACGCACGCCACGACAAUCGGUGGUUGCGAAACCUCGGUUGCCUGUCGUGUGCGGUCGUCGCGCAUCGAGGGCUCGAAAAAAUUGCCGGGCUUCGGCUCGACUUUCAACGCGACCCCAGGUCAGGCGGGGUUACCCGCUGAAUUUAAGCAUAUCAAUAAGCGGAGGA